rnacentral:lncRNA from 1 species
CUCAGAUUGUGCAGAAUUCUUUUGGUUUUCUUCGUAACGUUCCGUUUUCUUCUGCAGGACUGUGCUUAGGCUUGAUGUCUACACACAAGCGCGCCACUUUCAAAGUCGCUUUGUCAGUUAAAUACGCUGUAGAACAGACGCGCUCAUGUCGUCGAUACCGACCCACGUGACUCGGGUCCUCCUCGGACUUUUUUUUUUUAAAUGCGCUGUAAUUCCCUCCAGAGCUCCACAGAGGUGGCAAACGCUUCUCCUGCGCCAGAUGUCCAACCUUUGCAGCGUUUUCGCCAUCAGAGGGACAAUAAAACCCAAAGUGACUUUGCAGGCGGAGACUUUAAAAGUUCAGGUUCUGCAUCCUGCAGAAGCUCCCGGUCCGUUUUCCUCUGGUCCGCUCUUCCAAGGAUGGGUCCCAGGAGCGCGUUUCGCGCCUUGCUUUUACCGGCUUGCGUGAUCAUCUGCAGUAACGUGCUGUGUCCCGUCGUGGCUUUCCUCUACAACAACCGCUACGCAGGAGAUCAAGUCUUCAGAAUACAUCCAAAGAAUAUUGACGAGGUCCAAACACUCAAGAACAUUCUGGGACACAUGCAGGUUGGCACAGAUUUGCUUUUUCUUUCUCUUUUUUUGUACUUAAAUGCAUGACAGUGAAAAGGAACUGUUUAAUUUUCAGAUUACAACUUAAAUAUUCCAAAGUUUUACUAAAAUCAAAGCGAUGCUUCAAAAUACUUGAAUUUAUGACCCAUAUGAGGACAGAUGUUUCUGAGUACUGGUGUUAUAAAUCAAGUUCUUACGAAUUUAGUUGAUUGUUUUUAUGUUUGAUGGUGUCAGACAUGUGUCAUAAAUCAAAAAGCAUAGCUCAGGGUGUAUUGUUACACAUCUUGGGAAAAGUUAUGGAAUUGUCUAUAUUUUAUUAGGUUUUUCAAGUUUUAUUUCAGAGUAAAUAAAGGUUUUAUUCAGCUCACCCUGGCCUUUGAUGCCCAGUGGUUUAUCCGUCACAGCUGUCCGUCACGCAGGGAUGUUUCACAUUAGCGGUGGCGCUGUGUCGUUAAUGUUAAUGUGCGUGCAACCAUGUGGCGCGGCCCCGGGGACAGGGACGCGGAGAGGUGCGGUCGCGGGUGCUCGUCUGGUGCAGCUGAGACAUCUGCACUCCUUCAUGAGCCAAAAAAGGCCAAAAAUUCCAAGUGGUGACACUGAGGGACAGAAAACCUGUAGAGAAAAUGCAUUUGGCAUCAGCGGCAUGGACAACUUUCCUUAGCAUGU